rnacentral:rRNA from 1 species
ACGAACGCUGGCGGCGUGCAUAACACAUGCAAGUCGAGCGGGCGUAGCAAUACGUCAGCGGCAGACGGGUGAGUAACGCGUGGGAACAUACCUUUUGGUUCGGAACAACACAGGGAAACUUGUGCUAAUACCGGAUAAGCCCUUACGGGGAAAGAUUUAUCGCCGAAAGAUUGGCCCGCGUCUGAUUAGCUAGUUGGUGAGGUAAUGGCUCACCAAGGCGACGAUCAGUAGCNGGUCUGAGAGGAUGAUCAGCCACAUUGGGACUGAGACACGGCCCAGACUCCUACGGGAGGCAGCAGUGGGGAAUAUUGCGCAAUGGGCGGAAGCCUGACGCAGCGACGCCGCGUGGGGGAUGACGGCC